CACAGAGAGCUUGCUCUCGGGUGACGAGUGGCGGACGGGUGAGUAAUGUCUGGGAAACUGCCUGAUGGAGGGGGAUAACUACUGGAAACGGUAGCUAAUACCGCAUAACGUCGCAAGACCAAAGAGGGGGACCUUCGGGCCUCUUGCCAUCAGAUGUGCCCAGAUGGGAUUAGCUAGUAGGUGGGGUAACGGCUCACCUAGGCGACGAUCCCUAGCUGGUCUGAGAGGAUGACCAGCCACACUGGAACUGAGACACGGUCCAGACUCCUACGGGAGGCAGCAGUGGGGAAUAUUGCACAAUGGGCGCAAGCCUGAUGCAGCCAUGCCGCGUGUAUGAAGAAGGCCUUCGGGUUGUAAAGUACUUUCAGCGGGGAGGAGGUGUUGCGGUUAAUAACCACAGCAAUUGACGUUACCCGCAGAAGAAGCACCGGCUAACUCCGUGCCAGCAGCCGCGGUAAUACGGAGGGUGCAAGCGUUAAUCGGAAUUACUGGGCGUAAAGCGCACGCAGGCGGUCUGUCAAGUCGGAUGUGAAAUCCCCGGGCUCAACCUGGGAACUGCAUUCGAAACUGGCAGGCUAGAGUCUUGUAGA
rnacentral:rRNA from 1 species